GACGAACGCUGGCGGCGUGCUUAACACAUGCAAGUCGAGCGGUAAGGCCCUUUCGGGGGUACACGAGCGGCGAACGGGUGAGUAACACGUGGGUGACCUGCCCUCAGCUCUGGGAUAAGCCUGGGAAACCGGGUCUAAUACUGGAUAUGACUCCAUGACGCAUGUUGUGGGGUGGAAAGCCUUGUGCGGCUGAGGAUGGGCCCGCGGCCUAUCAGCUUGUUGGUGGGGUGAGGCCUACCAAGGCGACGACGGGUAGCCGGCCUGAGAGGGCGACCGGCCACACUGGGACUGAGACACGGCCCAGACUCCUACGGGAGGCAGCAGUGGGGAAUCUUGCGCAAUGGGCGAAAGCCUG
rnacentral:rRNA from 1 species